rnacentral:rRNA from 1 species
CCCUUAGAUGUUCUGGGUCGCACGCGCGCUACACUGAUGCAUCCAACGAGUUUCUUCCUGGUCCGAGAGGAAUGGGUAACCUUUUGAAAGUGCAUCGUGAUAGGGAUAGACUAUUGCAAUUAUUGGUCUUCAACGAGGAAUUCCUAGUAGACGUAGUUCAUCAGACUGCAUCGAUUACGUCCCUGCCCUUUGUACACACCGCCCGUCGCUCCUACCGAUCGAAGAGUUAGGUGAAUUGUUUUGAUCGAUAAGAUUUGACUAUGGUCAACUCUCGUUGUGAAAUUCUGUGAAUCUGACUGUUGAGAGGAAGGAAAAGGUGUAACA